UACAUACUCCCUCCGUUCGGAAUUACUUGUCGCGAAAAUGGAUGUAUCUAGACGUAUUUUAAUUCUAGAUACAUCUAUUUCCGAGACAAGUAAUUCCGAACGGAGGGAGUACUUG
rnacentral:pre_miRNA from 1 species